AAAAUCUGAAAUUUUUGGAUUCAUGUCCUUGUCAAGUAAUACAUUACUUGCUUUGAGAUCUCUGUGUAUAAUCCUGAGUCUUGAAUCUUGAUGAAGAUACAGAAGCCCCCUAGCUAUUCCACACAAAAUUUUGAAACGUUUGGACCAAUCUAAUGCCUUACCUCUUGUUUGAUCAAAAAUGAAGGAGUUUAGGCUUUUAUUUGGCAUGUAUUCAUAAAUCAACAUUCUCUCAUCUCCUUCAAUGCAGCAGCCAAGAAGCUUUACAAGAUUU
rnacentral:misc_RNA from 1 species